CUAGCAUGUUUCUAGCAUGAUUAGCAAAGUCGCUAGCAUGUUUCUAGCAUGAUUAGCAAGUCGCUAGCAUGUUUCUAGCAUGAUUAGCAAAGUCGCUAGCAUGUUUCUAGCAUGAUUAGCAAAUUGCUAGCAUGAUUUUAGCAUGAUUAGCAAAGUUGCUAGCAUGAUUAGCAUGUUUCUAGCAUGAUUAGCAAAGUCGCUAGCAUGUUUCUAGCAUGAUUAGCAAAUCGCUAGCAUGUUUCUAGCAUGAUUAGCAAGUCGCUAGCAUGUUUCUAGCAUGAUUAGCAAAGUUGCUAGCAUGUUUCUAGCAUGAUUAGCAAGUCGCUAGCAUGUUUUUAGCAUGAUUAGCAAGUUGCUAGCAUGUUUUUAGCAUGAUUAGCAAGUUGCUAGCAUGUUUCUAGCAUGAUUAGCAUGUCGCUAGCAUGUUUUCUAGCAUGAUUAGCAAGUCGCUAGCAUGUUUCUAGCAUGAUUAGCAAAUCGCUAGCAUGUUUCUAGCAUGAUUAGCAAGUCGCUAGCAUGUUUCUAGCAUGAUUAGCAAAGUCGCUAGCAUGUUUCUAGCAUGAUUAGCAUGUUUUCUAGCAUGAUUAGCAAAGUCGCUAGCAUGUUUCUAACAUGAUUAGCAAAGUCGCUAGCAUGUUUCUAACAUGACUAGCAAGUCGCUAGCAAGAUUUUAGCAAAGUCGCUAGCAUGAUUUUAGCAUGACUAGCAAGUCGCUAGCAUGAUUUUAGCAUGACUAGCAAGUCGCUAGCAAGAUUUUAGCAAAGUCGCUAGCAUGAUUUUAGCAUGACUAGCAAGUCGCUAGCAUGAUUUUAGCAUGACUAGCAAGUCGCUAGCAUGAUUUUAGCAUGACUAGCAAGUCGCUAGCAUGAUUUUAGCAUGACUAGCAAGUCGCUAGCAUGAUUUUAGCAUGACUAGCAAGUCGCUAGCAAGAUUUUAGCAAAGUCGCUAGCAUGAUUUUAGCAUGACUAGCAAGUCGCUAACAUGAUUUUAACAUGACUAGCAAGUCGCUAGCAAGAUUUUAGCAAAGUCGCUAGCAUGAUUUUAGCAUACAUUAAUAGAUAGAUAGAU